UAACCUAGGUUAUUCUGGUGUAAUAUGUUAGCAGCUUGAUUUGGGGAUUCCUUAGCCUUUGGGAUUGACUCCAUAUUUUGAAGUACAUUUGGAAUUUGGCUACAUUUCCUGGCCUUUGAGAAGUGGUCUUUAUAGGAACCAUCUUAGGUGUCCCAGAAGCAUACAUUCGUCUGGUCACCAGAGAUACAUGCUCUAGGUGUGGCCUCUACGUGGGUUUCAAGGGUCCUCCUGUUGUGGAAAGUUGAAUACUAUGGGUAAUCUGAUGAGUAAACAGAGGCUUGGAGACCUGAUAUCCUGUCUAAGGUCAUAGACGAACAUAAAUAACAAAAAGAAAGGCAAGAAUUUCCCCCCAUCCUUUCCUUUUCGACUGUGUGAAACACUUUUGUCAGGAUGCAAUGCUUCGAGUGUCACCAAGAACAUGGGAAAAUAAAGGAGACCCUAGCCUCCUGCUGAUAUGGUGUUGUUUCUAAGAGCACACUGGGAUAAUUCACCUAUUAGAGGAUUCUGAUUUCUGGAAAUCUGACCUACAAUAUCUGGUGCCAGGAUUCACCCUAGAAAGCAGAUUCUAAAAUGGCUUUUGGAAGCUGAAUUUCUACUCAGUCACUUAGCAAUGAAGACCAUCCCACUGGUGAUUAUCUUGGCACCCAGACAUGAGCUGCCUUCAUCAGUCACAAAUGAAACUCCAACAACUGGACUUCACAUUCACUAAAUGGAGACUUUCUGAAGGGAAAAGAAUUGGCACAUGAUAUGCCAGCAGGUCGCCAAUACUCUCAUUUUAUUUCUGUGCAUCUUUUUAUGCUAUUCCAUUAUAAUGUAUGACUAGUCACCCAGAGACUAUGCUUCCCUUUCAGUACAUUCUACCCCAAAGCAAAUCUAAUGCUAUCAUACUACAUACAAUAUAAAACUUGGGUCUCCUAAUGCAACAAUAAAUUAGUAAAAACAGAAAGAACUGUUUAUAGUUAUUAGGAUACCAUUCAUCCAUUUAGGUAUUUAUUCAUUUUUAAAUUAAAAUUGCCUGCCUACUACAUGCCAGUUAUCUUUACAUAUGAAGAUGAUAAGAAUCUGAUUUCAUUGUUCUUAAAAUUUAGUUUUAGUAAAAUAACAAUUUUCUUCUACAAGAUUUUUAAUGGUUUUGCUCUUGGACAUAAAACACUAACAGAGAGCUUAAUUAACCUACCUUGUGCAGAGACAUUGUGCAUGCAAAGGGUUUCUGGAAAAUUAUCAUAGACAAACCUCUUGUAUACAUUUUCAGUGAAAAAUUCAGGAAGUCCUUCAUAGAAUAAAAAAUUCACCUUUGUAGUGUUAAUAGUAAGUAUAAUUUCAAAUUUCAGAAGGGUCUACUAUAUUGCCUAAUUUAAUGGAAAUUUUCACCCAGAGUAGAUAAAUCAUCACCCUGCAUUUCAAAAAAUAAAAAGAAAAAUUAAAAUAAAAAAAUAUGUUCAAUAAUAAUAGUAAUAAAAAGAACUGUCUUCCGAGUAACUUCUAUAUGCAUAUUCAUUCAUUUUCUUUUACUUAUUAUGCUAUUGUGAUUUUGUGUCAUAUGCCAUGCUAAUUUGUUCCCAUAAUUUAAAAAACCAAAACAAAUUAAACUGGUGAACAAACACACGAUUUACUAAUUAGCAUCAUAACAAUUAUCAUAAUAUGGCAAGGAAAACCAUACGGAAGUAAUAUAUAAUCUUAAUUUAUUAUCAGUGUGAAGAAAGCAUAACUGGCACUAAUCCCCUGCAAAAAGAUCUUCUAUAGAGAUGUCUGAACCUAUCAGAUCUUUGUUCCUGCUUCAUUAACACCCAUAAAGAUCUGUGCUUAAACAAUACUGCUAUCUUACUCAGUAUGGUUAAAGAAAAUCCUUAAGAAAAAGGAGAAAAGGAGAAAUCAAAAUUUAAAGGACACCUAUUCAAAAAUUUCACCUUAAUUUCAUUAAUUAACUUUCUAUAUAAUGUAAUUAUAAAUCUAAAUAUCUGCUUCCUUUGGGGUGGGGAGGGAGUGCUUGAAUUGUUACCUUUAAAGCACAGUCCAUCUGUUACACAUCCAUGCACAAAUCCUUAGAGCUAAAUCAUUUCGUUUACACACUUCUGAACAAAUAACAGUGUAAUCUCUUCCAUUUCAGUUCGCAAAAUGUGGCUGCUUUUCUGUCUAUGACAGUGUAUUAUAGGUUACAUAGCAAAGACAAAAGGAAAAGUAGAGGAUAUAAAAUAUGGACCCUAAUUCAGAACUUCAGGUGAAUGAAUACGAAAAUGUAAUUCCAUAUCUUCCUUUUUAUUUGUUAAAGUCGUCAUACAAAACAAGGAACUUUAAUGGCAAUAGAAUUGAAUCCUAAGAGUAAAGUGAAUCUGUAUUAUUUUAAUUUAGCCUAUCUGCUACUGAGGGGCCAUGAUGUCCUCCAGUUAUGUUUGUAGUUCAAGAUUUCAAAUUUCUAACCAGCAGAGUUUUUUAAAAUAUGUUUUUCUAUUAUUAUAUUUUAAAUAGUCAUUCAGAAUAGUUCUUGUUUUUCAUUAAAAUAUUGCCACUUUAUUUCUACAACUAAUUUGGUUUCUAAAAU